UGGAUUCAAAUGUAACAGUGCAGUUUGGAAAGCUCUGCGGACCAUAGACACAUCUGAGGAGAGGAACCCAUGGAUAGAUGAGAUACACCUGUUCCCAGUGGAUGUUCCUAAGGUUUCAGCCAUAUAGAAAUGCUAGCAGUGGUUUCUCAUUUCUCUGCAGGGCAGGGGCUUCUGGUGAUGGAAGCAAAUUUCUUUGAGUGAUGAAUCUUUUUUGUCUGCUUUUACUGCAGAAUCAUUUAGGACUUGUUAACUAUAUUGGUUUUCCUUUUUAAGCUAUGAGUGAUUUAGAAUGAGGUAAUGACUUGGAAUUAGGCUGUAUUGUCCUCAAGUUAGCAAGAAUGUGAUUACCAGGCAUUUCAUUUUUCUUUACUGAGACACUGUCAUCUCUUUGGCACUGUCCAUUGUCAUUCAGCGUCGGACAUCGACCCCCCUAGCAUAUUCUGUUAUGUCACUUUUAACUUUAUACGCUAUUCAUCCCAAAGCAAACAAUACUUCAGGUAGACCUCGUUAUGUAAUAUUUUUAACAAUGAACUUUGAGAGAAUUGGGAAAACCUUCAUUAGUUGUAAAAUUUAGCUGCUGAAGAAGAUUAAGA
rnacentral:misc_RNA from 1 species